rnacentral:lncRNA from 1 species
AUUUUUCACCAAAUUACUUACUUUUUUUUGUUUGUUUCUUUUACUAAGCCACCAAAUUACUUUCUUGUAUUAAUAAUUUGAAAAGCAAAAAGAUGUAUAAUAUGAAUAAUUUAUGAUUGUGGCAGUUGUGGUAAUAUACAUGUACCCACAUCGUAGGAAUUCCUGCUGAUUUUUAUUAGCACUGUUGUAAACCCUCUUAUUUUUUAUUUUAUUUUAAUCAGGAAGGGGACAUUAGAUGUCCAGUUGGCAGACCUGACCACUUCUGUUUCCGCUGCGUGGCCUGCCUCUGCUGUGGCUGGCGUCUGUCUGGAGCAGUCUUGAGGGUGCCAUUCUGUCAGUGGAACUGGAUCGCCAGCAUCGAGUCAGAUCCAGGGGAACAGGACAGUCAAUUUUGCUCAGAAGGAGGAGAACCCCUGCUUUGUACAGUAUCUGGCACUCUGUGGGUGCUUAAAGAACCAUGGGACUUUUCAUUUGAAGCAUAUUUGGAUUUUUUAAAUAAAAUUUUUAAUUUCCUUAA